UAAAUGCAAUUUUACAAAGAGAGACCCAACAUCUCACCAGGAGAGUCAGAAAUUCCCUUACCAUGUGGACAUGGCCAUACAGCCAGUGGCUGGGAGGUCCUGGGAAACUCCUGAAACCCUUGAUCAGUUUCUGCCUUGUCUGAAAUAGCUGGAUGGCUUUCAGAGCAAUGCAGGUGAAGAUCAAUGCCACAGUCCAAUAGAAAAACCGAGAGGGACUCGCCGGUAGCCAGGACCACAAGAGAUUGAUGACAAUUUCCAUAGCCAGCUGCCUGCUGCUUGCUUUGCUCCAGUAGCUAGAGUAAGUCCUCAAAAGGUUUGCUGUUUUGCUGGCUUUGUCUUGUGAGCUGCAUCAAAUUACUAAAACAACUUUGUGGCAGGUGUUGCUGCAGGAAUCUGGAAACUGUUUAAACCUCCACCCACACACUCUAAUUAGUUUCACCCGCUGGGUGCUGAAUCCUCCCCUUUUCCUCACUUCAGAGCUGGACCAGAUCACUGUUAUUGGGAAAUGUUGUUUUAAUUAACUGUAUGCAGGGUAAUAAUGUACUUUAUCAGUGGAAGUAUUUGGUAUACCCAGAAUUCACUGAUAUUCAAAGAAGAUAUCACAGUGACUUCAGGGAGGACUGAUAUAGAGAAGGGCAUUUGAUAGGAAUGACCUCUUCCCGCUUAAAACGGGGGGCGCCCUUUGCGUGGACGCGCGCAGCCCCUAGAUCUGGAGCGGCUCCAUCAGCAUAGGCUUGGCUUUGCCUUCCCUCAGGUGGGAUACCUGGAGGUCUCCGCCUACCUCAGUCAGUUGUCCAAUCCCACCUGGGAGAAGCGUUGCCAAGGAGACCAGGCCAGGCAAGGGAGGGAUUACCUGCCCACACAAUAGAGGGAGGAUCUUACCUGGGAAUCCUCACUUGGCUCCAGAGCUUCUCCCACCCUGCCCACCCUCAGUUAAUGUCUUAUUUUGCAGGUUAACUUUUCUUCACAGGUUUUGCAGGUUAACUUUUCUUCGCAGGUAUGUGGGCGCUGCUACGUUAAGGUCACUGUUAAAGGGACAGAAAGGAAUUUCCCUGCAUUGGCAGGUUUCGCCUUUCCCGUAGCAAAACGUCACAACUUUGGAGGUAUCACGCCUUGGGCGGAAUCCUUUAGUCCAUCUUCCUCUUUGCGGCGGCGAUACCAGGGUUCCCCAUUAAAGGGGGUUUCUGAAGGGAGGCUUUGACCGUACGCCGAAAGGUCGUCAUUGCUCUCCCCUGCGGCGGCGGCGUAACGGGGGUGGCUAUCUCUGCUUGAACAUAUGUUCUCCAGAGCCGGCCCAUCCCCCCCACACACACUGGAUAACCCUGAUGCUCCCUAGGUCCCCGGCUGGGGACUGGGGAGGGAGAACGCCCAAUGCCUGAGCCAAGGUCUACCCACAUUUGAAAUUUAAUAAAGUUGUGGCCAAUUUAAUCCCAUAGCACGUUGUCUUGAGUCAUUAUUCCACAUGACGGGGGGACGACCGCUCGGGAUCUGGGGACUCCGCCUGUCCACGCAAAGAAAAUAUGUUUUCGGUUUUACGUUUGCCUCAUAUUUUGUUCCAUGUUUCUACUGAGGAAUAGCAACUUCUUCCAGUUUGAAUAAAUGUUGUCCGUCAACCCCUGCUUCAGUUGGGCUUCCCUCAUCAUCUGCAUGGACUGAAUCCUAUACUUCUGGAAAAUGGCCUAUCAAGCCAGAGGCAUCUCCUGAACCAGUCUUCUCUCAGGAACUGAAGUCUUUAUACCAGUAGCUGCAAAUUCCCCAAUAGUGACAGGGGACAUAUUGGAUUCAAUUUCUGUUUUGUUGUUGUUGUUGUUUUUAAAAUUCAAACAAUAAAAUACAAGAAACAAAGCACAUUAUUCAAAAUUUGCCCGUCUCCGAAUUUUGUGGUGUAGUUCUCCAACAUACACUGCAUGUAUUUGGGAAAAUGAAACCAAACAACACAUUCUAUUAAUGACAUUGCUUUGCAAAAAUAUGCUUUGGGUCCCCAGAUGAUGUUUGCCCACAACUCCCAUAUAAUUUUCCACCAUCUUAGUCAAUGGUCAGGGAUGAUGGGAGUUAUGGGCCAACAACAUCUGGGGCUCAAGGUGGAAAAGAGCACUGCUCUGCGUUUGGUUGAAGUAAGUUAGCAGCUUGGAGCUCUUCAAGACCUGCUACUGGACUAAGCUAUGGAUUCCCAGCUGGGGUUAGGUUAAGUUAGCUCAAGAAAGGAAAAAUGCAUGGGUUAUAUCUAAAAAGUGUCUCCUUUUCUAUAAAAUUAUUGUUUUAGUCAUAUGGUAGUUUGUGUAAAUUUAGAUUGCUUAGUUAACCUUUUUAAAAAAAUGGUUAAUACAGUCAUACCUCAUGUUACGUCCGCUUCAUGUUACGUUCUUUCAGGUUACAUCCCGCGGCGACCCGGAAGUACCGGAAAGUGUUACUUCCAGGUUUCGCUGCUUGCGCAUGCACAGAAGCGCAAAAUAACAUCAUGUGCAUGCACAGAAGCGGCGAAUCACAACCCGCAUGUGCGUAGACACGCCGCUGUUUGUUGCGCUCUUUUCAUGUUGCGAAGGGGCCUCCGGAACGGAUCCCGUUCGCAAACAGAGGUACCACUGUACAUUUCCGUAAGUUGUACAAGAAGUCAAUGUGAUAAUUUUUCUUAUUUGCAACGUCUAGAUUUAUUAUUCAUUCUUCUCUUAUCACAGUAAUUUAUAUUCCAUAGUUCAGGAAAUCAGUAUUUCCAAGAAGGCUUACAAUUAAAUUACAUAUUUAAUAGCUACAACAAAUAUUUGUUACAUAUUUAAAAGUCACGUAGAAGACAUGUAAAGGUAGCCCUGUACAGGGAAGUUUUUAUUGAUAGAUGUUUUAUUAUGCUUCUGUAUAUGCUGGAAGCUGCCCAGAGAGGCUGGGGUGACCUAGUCUGAUAGGUGGGUACAAUUCUUUUCUUUCUUUCUUCUUUCUUCUUAUAUAAGCUUUAUGUUAGAUUAUUGUGACAUGUUAUAUAUAGGGUGUAUCUCUGAAUACAGUUACAGUAGCUUCAGCCUGUGCUCACCAGGUUGCAACCAUAUUGCAGCAAUCCAGGCCUGACUGAACUGGCUGCCGAUUAGUUUGGGAUUACCUAGUCCCUCCCAAUGUGAGCUAAGCCUCGCAGGACAGCUAACAUUAUGGCUUUAACCACUUCAUGUAUUAAUCAGAUUUAAGCAUGCUAGUUAUAUGAGGCUAGUCAUCCCACAAUAAGGAUAAACAAUUGGGUCCAGGGGCUAGAGGAAGGAACCCAGGCCCAUCCAUUGAAGCUGACUGUUGGAAGAUUCAUCACAGAAAAAAGAAAGUAUUUCUUCACACAGUUAAACUAUAGAAUUUACUCCCCAAGAUGUAAUGAAGGCCAUCAUUCUGAAUGGCAUCCGUAGCCAUAUGCAGAUUGCAGAGCUGACUGCAACCGUGGGUUUGCUUCUCAUGCCACAGCUGGUGCAUGGCACAGGAAAAAAAAGACUGUAUCUGCAUGGAGCUGCCACCUUGUCUGAAAUAGGCAUCUUAUACUGACCUACAGCAGCUUCCUGUAGACCCAAAAGCAGUUUGAACUUUGAAUGCUGGGCAUAUAUGUAUAUGCUGGAUGCAAGAAUAUCACAGUAACUACAGGGAUGCAUAAAAGAAGUGAAAGAAAAUACAGGCCAAUCCAUUGAAUUGGGAAGCUGUAUAUUGCAAGAGAUUAAGGAACUGAAUAGUUUAAUGAGAGAAGACGAGGUUAGCAUGACAUGGUAAACAGUAUUUGUAAGAACACACUUAAAUGCUUUGCUAAAUUACACUAUGUUGCCUCAUUCUGGGCGAUUCCUAUGGGCACUCAGAGCUCCCUCAUUUGCUUUUCUUUGCUUUUCAGCAGCCAGAUCCAAUGCACACUCCCACAUCUUUGCAAAUGCAAGUUAAGACAAACAACCUUUGCAGGCCCAGCUUACUUCAAGCUGUGCCCAGUUCUUUGCCCAGCCUUGGGGACUCUGGCCAUUUAUGGGAGAAAUAGUUGCGCUCCCCACACUUUCCCAAAGGAAGUAUCCAAGUCUCUUAUGUACCUGUUGAACCUUGUAGCCUGUAAUGGGCUUUAUCGGACUUCCGGGUCAGCGCCAUCGGUGAAUGGCGGAGUUCCUCCGAUCGGAGGAACGAGCUCCUUAGAAACUGGGUCUUCCCGCCGCGGCGAAGGUGGGGACCCGCUAGAAAUCCCAGGCGGAGGAAGCCUGGGAACGUGGGGUUCGGCAGGGCACCAGGAGCCCCUUUUUGGGGCGCCGGAGCGAAGUGGGGUGAGUGGCGCGGUGCUGCGAACUGAUUGCUAUUUUUACGGAGUGAAGCCGCACAGCCAUUGCCGGAGAGCGCUGACUUUUCCUGUGGACAAUUGGAUUCAAAACAAGUACCCGUGAGUAGAAACGGAAAAUUGGAUCAAGAAAUAUCUUAAUUUGGCAUCGAAGCGGGAAGGUUCAAAACAGGAAGUCUGCCUUCCGCUUUUUGUAUAUAGACUAAAGCAAAAAUUUUGUAAGCUAAAGCCUGGAAAGCCGUGAAAAAAGUCUAAUUUCCUUCAUUUAUAAUUACUGAAACCCCCUUGGAAGUAGGAGAAAAGGGGGGAGAACUUUGUUUAACCCCUGCAGGAGAGGGAGUGAAGAAGGAUAAACUUCCACCGUCUCUAACCUGGGAACGGGGUGUCAGAGACAGAAAAAGUUGGAAAGGUUCAUUGACUGUGAAUGGAACAUUUUGACAGAUAGCUAAAGAAGAGAAAUAGACUGAUUCCAAUGUUGCCUUUUGCAUUCUAAAGAAACAAAAUAUCUGAAAAAUCUCUGAAAAAUGAAAGUAAUUUUCCUUUGUUGGACUUGCCUUAAAAAAUGGAUACAAAUAGAAAUUGUCUCCCCUAGAGGGAGCUUGUUAAAUUGUUGCUGCAGUUUACUUGAGGACUCAACAGCUGUGAGAUUAAGAUCGUGGGACCAGUCUUUUCUGACCUUGACUAAAGAUGAGCUGGGAAGAAGAUUGGGUGCUUGCUUUAUGCAAGACAAGUGCCUUGCUGGAACAGAUGCAUGAGAAGAUGGAUUUGAUGAAUGAGAAAAUGGACUUGAUGACUGUUGUGGUUAACAACUGUGGACAAACAGGGAAUAUUGAUACAGAAACCAUUCAGGGACCAACUCAUGAACCUGUACUGACUGGGCAAGUGCAGAAGAUAAUGGAGGAGGAUGCGGUUGCACCUCAAAUAAUACAAAUGGAGAAACCCGAGGCCCUACAGGAGUAUAAGCCGCUGUCAUUGAAGAUUGAAGUUGGAGUGGGCCAGGGGGAGUCUGGAGCUGAGGAGGGUCCUAACUUUGGAGAGACCUUGAAAUAUGUUUUUAAAUAUUUUUGGAUUACAUUGAUGACUGUGGGAGUGGGGCUGUGGGGAAUGGGCGGGUUUGAUGAAGGGAGAUGGAGACAAUUUUGGGUUGGAACCCCCCAGAGACCUACUCCUCAAUGAGAAAGGAAAGAAAUUAAGAAAGAGACCAACAAAUGACAAGGAAAAGGGCAAGUAUAAACAAGAAGAAGAAGAUCUGCAGAAGGGACAUGGAAGAGACUUAAGGGCCUCGGACAUAAGACUUCCAUGUUGAUGGACUAGAUGGAAUGGACAGUAAGGACUGACACGACCCGAGACCAGGAAGAAGAGACGUUGGAUGAAGAUUGGAAGAAAAUUUAUAAAGAAAUUUUUUUUAUUUGGGGAAUUAGCCUAAAAUCAAUGAAUAUUAAGGAAAAUGUUGGAAUGAAACUAUAUGACUCUAGCAGAAAUGAUAUUAGGGGUUAUGUAUAUUUGAGUAUUAAGAUUCAAGCUUUAAGGUACUUUAUGGUAAGAUAAGGUUAAAUAAAUUAAGGUAAUUUGAAUAACAGAAUAUGGGGAAAGAUGGAAAGGAUUUGUUGAGUUAAUUAUUAGGUUAAAUUGUUAAGAUAAAUUAUUUAACAAAAAUUGAGAAAGAUGGAAAGAAUUUGCUGAAAUAACUAAUUAAACUAGAAUGCAGAAAGGGAGGUGUGAGGAGGUCAAUGAAACAAGCAAAUGGAAGUUAAAGAUAUGAAAUUUGGGAUUUGUGUCUUUUUUUCUUCUUUUUUUGUUGUAUUGCUGCAUUGGUUUUUAUGUUUUGCGCUUUUUCUUCUUUUUUAUGUAUUGUAGUGUUAGUUUUUUUUCUAUUUUUUCUUUUUUUCUAUUACUCUGAAACUAUGAAUAAAUAUUAUUUUUUUAAAAAAAAUGUAAUGGGCUUUAUCUACCAAUCUGAUUUUGCUGAGCCAUGGCAAGAAUUGGAGGUGCAAUAACAUACUUGCCAGCAACGGAGGAGUGGCAGCCUCAAUUACCUGCCUGCGAAAGUAGCUGCAUGACAAUGAAAAGAACAGCAAAAGAUUGUCCAACGCACCUGGACUAGGCUUCAUCCACCAGAGAACUGAGUUUCAUUACAUUCUGAACUGGCUUUGAUAUUAUUCUCAUCCAGGAAUCUUGGCACAUUGGGGAGCUGUCCUUAAAUGGCUCUCAUACCUUCUCCCAUGGGUUAGUAAAAGGGGCAGAUUUGGACGAGCAAGAAUAGGGCUCCGAAUUCUCAUUUAUUUGACUUUAUGAGUUCUUUUCUCCUCAGGUUUCAUCUGAAUCAUUAAUCAGAUUUUAAACCUGCUUUCUUUCUGUUUCUUUCUGUUCUGCACAGUUUUACAAUGGGAGACCAAACAUAUCACCAGGAAAGUCAGGGAUUCCCUUACCAUGUGAACAUGGCCAUAUAGCCAGUGGCUGGGAAGUCACAGUCCAAUAGAAAAACUGAGAGAAACUCCCCGGCAGCCAUGACCACAAGGGAUUGAUUAGAUUCUCCAUCACCAGCUGACUGCUGUUUUGUUCUGCUCACUGUUUAGAAUAAGUCCUGAAGACUUUCUGGUUCGGCUGGCACUGCUGGCUCAAAAUGCCAGAACAAGUUUGUGGCAGCUGGAGCUGUAGGAAUCUGGGAAUUGCUUGGACCUCAGCCCACAAAUUCUAUUUUGUUUCUCUCUGUGGGCCCGGAAUCAUCCCUCAUUCCCCACUUUACAUCUUAAUUAGGAUCACUGUUAUUGGGAAAUGUAGUUUUAAUUGUCUUCGUAUAAGAUGCUUAAGAUAUUUUAUCAGGGGAAGUACCUAGCAUGCCUAGAAUUAACUGAUACUCAGAGACGAAGCCACAAGGAUGAAUGGUACAAAGGAGUGCAUUGGGAGCAGAUAUUAAACCUCUCAUAGGGAAGAAAAUAGUCUCUGGAUUUUUUACAAACAGUUAACACAUUUCCACAAGAUGUAGAAGAAGUCAAUACGAUUUUUUUAUUUAUUUGCAACAUCUAGAGUUAUUUAUUCAUUCUUCUCUUAUGACAGAUAUUUAUAUCCCACAGUACAGGAAAUAAAUCAUUCCAAAAUGACUUACAGGUAAAUUACAUAUUUUAAAAUACACGAAAUAAUCAUGAAAUAUUAAAAGGUCUUCAGGACUCCUCCCCCAGAACAGCUGAUGUGAGAACAUGGAGGGGGAAUAAGAAAGUCUAAAUGAUCAGCCUUUUCCCUGUAUAAUCCUUGUAAUACCAUAGUUAUGACAUAUAUAUUAUUAAGCUGAAUGAUGUAUACUUUGUUUUAUGGGGGGGGGCCAAAGUAUUUCUAGGUCUGUGAUAUAAAAUGUGUAAAAAAAUAAAAUCCAUUCAUAUUAAGCCCUGGUAUCAGAGUUUAUAUUGUAAAUAACCCAAGCUCUCCUUUCCAAGCCACAAAGUCAGUGAAACCAAUGGAUUUAAGUUAAUCAAGUGCAUUUAUUUCCACAAGUCUAUUCUGAAUAUGACCUAGUUGGACUGAGAGCUUAAAAGGAAUUGCCAAACAAUAUAAUUACAAUCAUAGCAGCCUCAAAAUACUGAAAGAAUCUAUAUUUGGAAAUGGUGCUGGAUCUUGAACCAGCUUCUGUAUACCUAGAGAGGACAACAAUUCCCUUCAUAAAAGAGCAGAAGUGCACUGCAUAAUAUUAAUAUUAAUAUUAAUAUUAAUAUUAAUAUUAAUAGUGCCUACCAAUAUUUAUUGGUCCCUCAUGGGUGGUGAGAGAUGUCAUGUCUCAGUGUCUGGCCAUUCUACAUUCCCUGGCCAGCCACAUUACAGGGCAGGAUAGCCCACCCAAACUAAAGUUCUAAGAGCCUGGUCUCUCAAACCAGUGCCAUGGUACCUGAGCCAGUUGCCUUGCAGGUGCAAACAAACUGCAUGACAACAAUAACAAACAGCACAUUUCAUAGAAAAUAUCCUUUCAGAAUGUGAUAUGAAGCAGAGAAAGCACUGUGGUUGGAUUCCUCUGAUCACACAAUAUGAAUUGGAACCAAUGCUCCAGAAAGAAGAUAUUCUGUGCCCUACUCUUUAGGCACAACUGAAUGGCAGCUGGUAACACAGAAUCCAGUCAAUCUCCAGUUCCUUAUCGAGAAAUGCAAUUUUACAAAGAGCACCUUCCCACCAGGAAAGUCAGAGAAUCCCUUACCAUGUGGACAUGGCCAUAUAGCCAGUGGCUGGGAGGUCCUGGGAAACUCCUAAAACCCUUGAUCAGGUUCUGCCUUGUCUGAAACAGCUGGAUGGCUUUCAGAGCCAUUCAGGUGAAGAUCAACAUCACAGUCCAAUAGAAAAACAGAGAAACUCCUGGGGAGCCAGGACCACAAGGGAUUGAAUAGAUUCUCCAUCGCCAGCUGACUGCUGCUUUGUUUUUGCUCACUGUCUAGAAUAUGUCCUAAAGACUUUCUGAUUCGGCUGGAGCUGCUGGCUCAAAAUGACGGAACAACUUUGUGGCAGCUGGUGCUUAUA